rnacentral:rRNA from 1 species
AUUGAACGCUGGCGGCAUGCUUUACACAUGCAAGUCGAACGGUAACAGGUCUUCGGAUGCUGACGAGUGGCGAACGGGUGAGUAAUGCAUCGGAACGUGCCCAGUCGUGGGGGAUAACGCAGCGAAAGCUGUGCUAAUACCGCAUACGAUCUGUGGAUGAAAGCGGGGGACCGUAAGGCCUCGCGCGAUUGGAGCGGCCGAUGUCAGAUUAGGUAGUUGGUGGGGUAAAGGCCCACCAAGCCAACGAUCUAUAGCCGGUCUGAGAGGACGACCAGCAAGACUGGGACGGCGCCACGGCCCAGGCUCCUACGGGAGGCAGCAGUGGGGAAUUUUGGACAAUGGGCGCAAGCCUGAUCCAGCAAUGCCGCGUGCAGGAAGAAGACCUUCGGGUUGUAAACUGCUUUUGUACGGAACGAAACGGUCUGGGUUAAUACCCUGGGCUAAUGACGGUACCGUAAGAAUAAGCACCGGCUAACUACGUGCCAGCCGCCGCGGUAA